rnacentral:rRNA from 1 species
UACGGAAGGGGCAAGCGUUGUUCGGAAUCAUUGGGCGUAAAGGGCGCGUAGGCGGUCGCGUGUGUCUGCUGUGAAAGCGCACGGCUCAACCGUGUGAAGUCGGUAGAAACUGCGGGACUUGAGGCUGGGAGAGGUUGGUGGAAUUCCCUGUGUAGCGGUGAAAUGCGUAGAUAUAGGGGAGAACACUCGUGGCGAAGGCGGCCAGCUGGACCAGCCCUGACGCUGAGGCGCGACAGCGUGGGGAGCAAACAGGAUUAGAUACCCUGGUAGUCCACGCCGUAAACGAUGGGCACUAGGUGUUGGCGGUACCGAUUCCGUCGGCGCCGGCGUUAACGCAGUAAGUGCCCCGCCUGGGGAGUACGGUCGCAAGGCUGAA